UAAAACGUAGGAGGCGAGCGUUAUCCGGAUUCACUGGGCGUAAAGCGCGCGUAGGCGGUUAGGUAAGUCGGACGUUAAAGCCCCUGGCUCAACUAGGGGAGGUCGUUCGAUACUGCUUGGCUUGAGGGUGAGAGAGGAAAGUGGAAUUCCCGGUGUAGCGGUGGAAUGCGUAGAGAUCGGGAGGAACACCAGUGGCGAAGGCGGCUUUCUGGCUCACUUCUGACGCUGAUAGCGCGAAAGCGUGGGGAGCAAACGGG
rnacentral:rRNA from 1 species